UACGUAGGGGGCAAGCGUUGUCCGGAUUUAUUGGGCGUAAAGAGCGUGUAGGCGGCCUUACAGGUCAGCUGUGAAAACUCGAGGCUCAACCUCGAGACGUCGGUUGAAACCGUAAGGCUAGAGUCCGGAAGAGGAGAGUGGAAUUCCCGGUGUCAGCGGUGAAAUGCGCAGAUAUCGGGAAGAACACCCGUGGCGAAGGCGAGGCGCUGGACCCUUUCUGACGCUGAGGCGCGAAAGCCAGGGGAGCAAACGGG
rnacentral:rRNA from 1 species